rnacentral:rRNA from 1 species
GAUCCUGGCUCAGAUUGAACGCUGGCGGCAGGCUUAACACAUGCAAGUCGAGCGGAGCGAGGGUGCUUGCACCUUAGCUUAGCGGCGGACGGGUGAGUAAUGCUUAGGAAUCUGCCUAUUAGUGGGGGACAACAUUCCGAAAGGGAUGCUAAUACCGCAUACGCCCUACGGGGGAAAGCAGGGGAUCUUCGGACCUUGCGCUAAUAGAUGAGCCUAAGUCGGAUUAGCUAGUUGGUGGGGUAAAGG